rnacentral:tRNA from 1 species
ACGAAUGCACUAACAUUCUCUUUUCACCCUCCCCCCCCCUCCCCCCGUUCUUUUG